UGUCACUCUUAUAUUUUGUUACUUUCAAGGGAGUUUAUCGAGGAGAGAGGAUGUUAAAGAGUCCGGUUCCCGAUAAUAAGUACAUAUAGAGUAAGUGUAUUUAUACAAUAAAGUUUAUUUGCACCGCGAUCAGAAUAUUAUUUAAGUGGUGCACCUGCGACUUGCAUCGCCGGGAGAAGGUGUGAAACGUGUCGGAGUUUCAAACUGAUUUCACAAACAACAAUAUUAUUUUUUUUUUAUCUAUUUGAAGGAUUUUGAUGCAUAUUAAACUAAAUUAUUGUUCAAAUGAUUUACAUCAUAUUUUAUAGGUACACUCCUAUAACAACAGUAUAUUAUUUAUUGAUCCUUUAUUUUUUUAUUUGUUCAAAUCCGAAUAAUAUUAAAAAUAAAACAAUGAAAACAAAAUGUAGGAGGUCAAAAAUAUACAUAAACUCGUGUUAAAUAAUCACCGCACAAUGUUUGAUAUGAACAAAAAAAACAAUAGGUUUCAAUUUAUAAACAUAUUUUUAAAAAGAGCUGAUGCUGGGGACGGGUGUGUUGCGGUUGUAAGUGGGAAGUUAUUGGGAAGGUAGAAUACAGUUAUUUAAUUUAUAUCUGUAAGGAACGAUAAAUCAUUGCUUACGAAAAACAAUUUGGAGCGAAGUUCCACCAUACCAUACACGUUUUGAAAGGUUGUAUUGUUUACGAUUUUCGUCAAAAUUUGAUUUUAAAACUCUUAUAAAAAAAAAAAAAAAAAAAAAAUAUUAUAUCUCAAUUUUUUUUGACCACUAAGUACGACUAUUAAUUAAUCUCCUGUUAAAUGUUCAAGCAUUUUUCUCUGGUGUAACAAUAAUUUUAUCCGCAAAGUACUUACAAACAAAUUAUACUCAGAAUCGAAUGUAUUUAUUUGUUUUCUACAAACAAUUAAAUGUACCUACUACAAUUGUGAUUUAUUUCUAUGUAAGCAUAUUAGUUUAUUUUUUGUUAUGUAUAUAAUGACGUGUAUUGUGUACUGUUAUAGUACUUAAAAAAUAAAUAACGUACUGCGUAGGUUUAUAAAACGUUCCUUUUUUUUUUCUGUUUGGUACAAAUGUUUUAUUGCAUAUUAUAAUAUAAUAUAAGCGAUUAACCCUGAACGUUUCUAUGCACUUUUCGUAAUUUUAAUUUUACAUAAUAAUAUAAUAAUCGUGUCAUAUAUUUUUUUUUUCUUUAGUGCACCGUCACUCCACCGUAUAAUGAAAUUCCGGUCUCUAUAGGCCUGUGAGGCUGUACAUACGAAAGUUGUUCGGCGGAAAUAGGUAGCCAACCGACUAACGACAAUGUAUACUCUCGGAUAUAGAGCAAUCAUUCCGUCGGGGGAAAAAAAAAAACCAAACCGGAACGUCGAAACGUCUCUAUCGGAACUAUAUUAAAAUAAUAAUAGGUACGACCCGGUAUUAUAACUUAUACGUGAAAUUAUUCGCGUGUGCCUAUGUAUCAUCAUUGUCGUAAAUUAUUAGAUUAUUUGUUUUAUCGUGUAUGUAUACCUAUAGGUACUAUACGUAUUAUGUAACCCGACGAAGAAAACGGGCACAAUUGCGUAUACACACACAUAUUAUCUUACUCCUCGACACACUUAGGAAAAAAAAAAAAAAAUCAUUCUGCAACAAGAGCUAGUACUAUUAUGAUAACUAUUUUAUACUAUAAUAAGUGUACUUACCACCUACAGCUGCUGCCACCUCUUCGCUCUACCCGCGUGUAUAAUAUAUACGAAUAGGUACUAUAACUAUAUUUUUCAUUUCUAUUGUGUAUCGUGUCGUACACACUCGGUACCUAUAAUAUAUUGUCUACGCGCUUGUAAUUACACAUAACCGUUGUAUUUAUUUAAUUUGGUUUUACGAAAGUCCCCGCAGCUACACGUUUUGUCAAUAUUUGUACUCCAGAACAAUCCGACUUGUUGUCGCAUUUAUGCAGUGUAUAUGCCAGUGAUUGAAGUGGCAAGUUUUCGAAGGGUAACUUACCGAAAAUUUGGGGACGUUCCAAAGAACUGACCAAACCUCAUCAAGCUUUCAGGGAGCCCAUUAGAGAGACGAGAUUUCCAACAUUUUUUCCUCUCACACGCAUUUAUUUGUUCAUAAAAAUGUCAUAAUACUAUAGGAUUUAAAAAAAAAAUGCACACCUCCCCUAAGAUAUUUUCCUAUGCAUAUCUGUCUGCUCGAUGAAAGUAAAACAGAUUCUGAUUACGUACAAUUUUAAUCUAAAUAUUUAGAUUGAUUAACAAGUUUUGACGGGAGUGAUUUUAUGUGUUAUGAUAAAAAAAUAUCAUAUUUUUGUUCGUCGAUAUCACAGCUGAAAAAAUAGAUAUUUAAAAUCACCAUUUACACAAAUUUUAAAAAUUGGAGACAAUUUUAAUAACCUACACCGAUCACCUUAAGUACAAAAAUUUAGUAAUAUACAUAUGUAUAUAUAUUUUAGUUGAAUAAUUAUUAGACAAUAAUAUUAUUGUGUGUAUAACUAUUAUUAUAUACGUGUUUCUUUAAAUUUUCUUUUUGGUAAAACUUGACGGGUUUGAAUAAUAUAACUUGGUUAAAUAAAGUUAAUUGACAACAAAUUAAUUAUUUGUAUUUUAUUAAUUAUUAUUUUAUUUGAUAAUUAUAGUAUUAUUUGUUUUCAUUAAAAUUGUUAAUAUCAUAUUAUAAUGCGGAAAACUAUUAAACCCUAAGAUAGUGAUUUUUUUAAAAUAGUAAUUACCAAUCAAUACGUAAAACCUCUUGGAAAAUCAAAAAAGAACUUUCUUAAAGUUCCAAAGUACCAGAAAAAGUGCUACACUUUAAAAUUGAAGCAAGAUUUUUGGUAGAAAAGUUGUUCAUAAAUAAAAAAAAAAAAUAAACAUCAUUGUAAAACUAGUAAAUAUUCCUCGCCUAUGUUCUGAAUCUAAACCAAUUGAAAUUAACAUCACGUGUUACGUAUAUAUUUCAAAAUGAAUUCGUUGUUUGCAACAAAGUUUACACGAAAAAAUAAAUAAAUUGAGUUAAUUUAAACAAAAAUGAAAGGCUAUAAAAGCUCUAAAAAAUAAAAAAAUUAAAUCAACUAAACCUUUGACGUUUUUAAUACUCGUUAAUAUUAUAAAUACCUAGCGUUGCGCCUGUUGAUCGCUAUACAAAUUUAUUUAGUUCCAUAUAGGUAGCACUAAAAUCACUUUAUUAUAUCUACCUACCUACUUGAAUAUUUAGUGAGUCAGUAAGUGUGUGAUUAAUUAGCGUAAACGUGUUUUUUUAAAUAUAUUUUCUUAUAGAAAAAAAAACAAUUUAUAAAAUAACACGUUUGAUUUUAAUUUUAUUAUUUAUUAUGUUAGGUUAGGUUAAGUUGUUAAAUGGUACUAUUAGCAUAUUAAGGCUGUGAAUUUAAUGCGUUAAACCACUAAUAAACUUGCACGGUGUAAUUAUGCAAUAGAAACUGACGAAAUGUAGACGUAGAAAUAUAUAAAAAAAUGCAUUAAUUUUUAAAGAAUAAGUAAAAAAAAAAAGACAGACAUACUUUGCAAGUAGGUGCAAUCAUUUUUGUAGGUGAGAAGAUAGGAUACAGAUGGGAUUUCAAUGAGAUAUCUUUAAUAUAUAUUUAAUGUAUAAACAACAAUAAAUCAUUGCUAAAGAAAACACGAUUUUAAGUUGAUAGUGUUGCAUUGUCAACAAUACAGGUAAAAUAAUUAAAUAGACAUUAUAUAUAUUUUUAAAUAAUAUUUAUUUAAUGAUACAUCGAUUUUCCCGGUUUCCCAUUUUCUUUCCAGGUUUACACACAUGAUAUUAAAUGAAUAAAAAAAUUAAAUAAAGAUAUUAAAUUCUCAUCUGUAUCCUACCUUCUCAACUUCCCACCUACAACAGUGGCUGCACCCACAUGCAAAAUAUGUCCGUCCUUUUUUUAUUGUUAUUAUUAUUAUUUAGAUGAUUUAAUUAAAGUAGUAUACAUGACGAUUUCACUACUUUUUUCUUAAAAUCGAACUUAAAAAACUGUUCUAGGAUAACGGAGAUGGGUGAAGUCACUUUAUAGGUAAUUGAAUGUAUAC